GGUGUCAUAGAUUCAGAGGAAAUCGAUCGAGAGAUCGGGUGGGUGUCAUAGAGAGCGAUAGACACAGACAAAAAGAGACAGAGAGAGAGGUUAUUUGCUCUGCAACGCAAGCCCGAAGGAAUCAUACAUAAACCGGCAAGACAAACAGAUCGAAAUUCAUGAAGGUCAAAUUAACAACAAGAAAACCCAUCGCUUCAGCUUUUGGGUUUUGGUUUAUUUUCUGGACACAGAGAAAGAUAGAGCGAAGUAAACAGGGGAAGAAGGGGGAGAAGAAGAGGCCCUCCCUUCAAAAUGUCCAUCAGUAGUGUGGAGUUUGCCAUCGGAGGCUUAAUCGUGGAUACCAAGGUGUUCUAUGGCCAAGAAAGGUCUUUUGCUAUGGAUUUCUGUGUGCUUAGCUUUGCUAAUUGAAGAAGAUGAAUGGGAAAAUGAGCUCUUCUUCAGCUUCAGAAGGACGAUACUGGAUCAGUACGUCUGUGCUUAAAGGAAUGAGCUUUUUUUGGUGUUUGAGGGAAGUAGGAUUUGGCAAGUCUGAUAUAAAGAGAAUAAAGGUGAGGCUAGGGACGAUUAAGAAGAAGAGGAACGCUGUGCUGAAGUAUCUGAAGAAUAAUGUUGCUCAUCUUCUCAAGAUUGGCCUUGAUAUUAAUGUAUAUGGAGGGGUGGAGCUGGGAGCAGCACAGCAGUUCAAAAAGUCAUGCCUGCUGCUCUAGCAGAUAUGACAUAAAGCAUACUUUCAACAAAUUGAAGAUGUUCAGAAAUAUUCAAAGGCUUUAACGGACAUGAAAAGGGAGUUCUUUCCAAACAAAAGACAUGAAUGAGCUGUUAGAGUUCCACAAGAAUUAGAUUCCAUUCUUGAACAUUUGAUUGGUUGAGACAUAGGUUUUAUCAAGGUUUGAAGGAAUCACUACAAAAAAGUUAAGAACUAUGAGGACAACAGCAGCACUCCACUCAUAAUUAAAUGCAAUGAUCACAGAACUACACAUUUGGAAAAUAGAGGCUCCCCUUUUGUCUGCUCAUUAAGAAGACUGAGCGUUAUUUCACCAAGAUCAGAAGGAAAAAUAGGUAAACCGGAGCAAACAAAAGAUGAAGAAAUUAAGAAAUUUCAGUCAAAAGACCCACCGACUUCAAUAUCCUCAUCCGGGUAAGAGAAGUUGCAUGGAGCUGGCGCUAAAGAGUAGUUCAACCUUAUGUUGUUGCAGGAAAUAAGAGAAGUACAGACCAGUGGAGAGGCGUAGGCUACUGGAACCCAAAAUUAUAAGAAGCAAUUCGAAGGAUGCGCUAAAAUCUCAAAAAUGCUCUGGAGGACAUUUCAGUAUGCGUUUAAGUUUGAGAGGAGAGCGAAGAGUUGAGAGGAAUAAUAGAGACCCCAGUGCUCACCACGAUAUCAACUAUUGAAGCUUCAACGUGCUAGAACUAGAAGGAAUGAGGAUGACCCGUAUGAGAAUAUGGAUGCCAAAAUCAACUGGGCUUUAGAGCAGGCCUUCAAUUUGAAGCUUGAUUUCAGUGAGACUGGGGAUGAUUUUGUUGUUUUUCGAAGACUGAUGCCGGAAUGAUGCUCAGGUGGAGUUUAGAGAGAAGUACAAGAAGGAACAUCCCAGCAACAAAUCGGGGAGAGCUCCCUACCCGGCCAAGGCAGAGAAGAGAGGUUGAAUAGAACAACAUGGAAGUUUAUAACAAGAAACGAGUGUUUCUGUUUUAAUUGUUAAUCUCUGGGAAAUAUUGGUAUGAUCACUGAACACUGUACAGUGGAAUCUGUUAAAGGGUUGAAAGUUGUGUCACUCUGUUGUGACUAUUUCAGUCACCAACAACAAAAGGCUACCUCCAAACUGACCCUCUCCUUACAACACAGCAAGAGUAGUAGAGGAAAUGAACUGCUUGAAGAUGGUUGUAGGUCAUGUGCUAUCUCUCACUAUUCUUGCAUUUUUUUGCAGUUUUUGUGCCCGUGAGGCAUAAGCUCCUCCACUGGUUGCUGCUUCGGAUUGUGAGAGAAUAAUUACCGUGCUUCGGGUGGUUUUGGGUUUAUAGUUAUCUCUCAAGGAAUGAGCUUUUCCUUUGUAAAGGUCUGAUUCUCAAUUUCUAACAAUGCAAGUAAUUUGAAUAUGUGUGUAUUUUUGAAUGAACCCUACA